rnacentral:rRNA from 1 species
GACGAACCGUGCGAACGUUGUUCGGAAUCACUGGGCUUAAAGGGCGCGUAGGCGGACUGCCGCGUCUGGGGUGAAAUCCUCCGGCUCAACCGGGGAAGUGCCUCGGGUACGGGCGGUCUCGAGGGGGGUAGGGGCGUGCGGAACUGUGGGUGGAGCGGUGAAAUGCGUUGAUAUCCACAGGAACUCCGGUGGCGAAGGCGGCACGCUGGACCCCAUCUGACGCUGAGGCGCGAAAGCCAGGGGAGCGAACGGG